rnacentral:rRNA from 1 species
UACGUAGGGGGCAAGCGUUGUCCGGAUUUAUUGGGCGUAAAGAGCGUGUAGGCGGCCAGGGAGGUCCGUUGUGAAAACUCGAGGCUCAACCUCGAGACGCCGAUGGAAACCCCCUGGCUAGAGUCCGGAAGAGGAGAAUGGAAUUCCUGGUGUAGCGGUGAAAUGCGCAGAUAUCAGGAGGAACACCGGUGGCGAAGGCGGGUCUCUGGGCCGAAACUGACGCUGAGGAGCGAAAGCGUGGGGAGCAAACCGG